GGGCCCGCGUUUCAUUAGCUAGNUGUUAGGGUAAUGGCCUACCAAGGCAACGAUGAGUAGCUGGUCUGAGGGGAUGAUCAGCCACACUGGAACUGAAACACGGUCCAGACUCCUACGGGAGGCAGCAGUGGGGAAUAUUGCGCAAUGGGCGAAAGCCUGACGCAGCAACGCCGUGUGAGGGAUGAAGGCUUUCGGGUCAUAAACCUCUGUCAGAAGGGAAGAACGGGCAUUGGUCUAAUAGGCCUUUGUUUUGACGGUACCUUCAGAGGAAGCACCGGCUAACUCCGUGCCAGCAGCCGCGGUAAUACGGAGGGUGCAAGCGUUAUUCGGAAUUACUGGGCGUAAAGCGCACGUAGGCGGCCUUGUAAGUCAGGGGUGAAAUCCCACGGCUCAACCGUGGAACUGCCUUUGAAACUGCAGGGCUUGAAUCCUGGAGAGGGUGGCGGAAUUCCUGGUGUAGGAGUGAAAUCCGUAGAUAUCAGGAGGAACACCGGUGGCGAAGGCGGCCACCUGGAC
rnacentral:rRNA from 1 species